UCCAGAAGCAUCGCGGGCCAUGUAUAUUUCAUCAAAUGGACUUUGGGUGCGUCGCGUCUCGCAGCCAUCAACGCUAUGUGCAGUGACAUUUCUGACUUGAGUGGAGGAAUGCGCGAAGGAAGCCCGGACGAAAUUGGUACUAGAGGAUCUUCUUGGCGCCAAUGCUAAUUGUCCUGAUUUAUGUCCCUUCUGAGUAAGCUCAACGUCUUCGUCUGAAAUAAAAUGAAAGCUGUGCUAAGCGGAGUAGAACCACCGGACCGCUGGUUCUGAUCCCCGGGAAAUCAGGAAGUCGUCCUGCGGCUUAAAAAAAAAAAAUAGGGGAAAAAAAAGAAAAAAAAAAAACAACCCUCAGUAAAGUUUAAGGCGAGAAGUGGCAGAGGCAGUGGCGCGAGGAGGCGCGGAGGAGACCCGGCAAGCAGAGGACUGGGCUGGCAAGACCUCCCGAAGGCUGAGAUUUCAUUAUUAAUAUCACUAUAUUUUUGGAGGGAGAGGCACCUUUCUCAUCUUUCCUUCCUCUCCGCCCACCCCUAUUCCCUCCCCCUCAUCUACCUGUCAAAGUCACUGAUCUUUUGCAUUUCGGAAGAGGACGUCAACGGGAAGGAAUUCCCCCUCUCGGCUAGGGCUCCGAAAGGGGGCGACGUGCAGGAGGCUGCCCCCCCGCCGGGGGGCCAGAGGCGAAGGGUGUUGGUGCCAGAAGAGAAGAAUGAUUGAUGGGCAGCAGACACCGAGCGAUCGACACUCGUCCUUUUGUUUUAACUACUGACACCUCAGUGCGCCUGAGCAUCCCUUGUGAACUGUGAGCGUCGAGCACCCAGGGUUAUUGGAUGUACAAUAGGAGAGCCAUCAUUUUGAUAAAUCAUUAUCUGCUACUGGACAUCUUUUAUGAAAAACCAAACUAGACCCAAGGCUAAUAGAUGCAUUCUAGGACAAUGAAAAAGCUGCAAGUUGUUGCUAAUGCCUAGUACACAAGUAUGCUAGGCUUCCACCAAAGUCCUCAAUAUACCUGAUCAUGUGCAAUAUAUGAACCCUUCACUUUUAGUUUUGGAAUCUACACUGAAGUCUCAUCUUCUUUUUCUUUUUUUUUUUUCUUUUUUUAAUAUACAAACCUACCUACGUGUAGACAUAGAUAAGCUGCUUUAGUGACCACGAAGAUUGCCAAGAAUUUAGAGAUGUAUUUGUCAAGAUUCCUGUCAAUUCAUGCCCUUUGGGUUACAGUGUCCUCCGUGAUGCAGCCCUACCCUUUAGUGUGGGGGCAUUAUGAUGUGUGUAAGACUCAGAUUUAUACAGAAGAAGGGAAAGUUUGGGAUUACAUGGCCUGUCAGCCGGAAUCCACAGACAUGACAAAAUAUCU